GGUCCCCAGAUGCUGUUGAACUACAACUCCCAUCACCCCUAGAUGGGAGUUGUAGUCCAACAACAUCUGGGGACCCA